ensembl:lncRNA
GCUACUGUGACUGGUAACCCCUAGUAACCAGGAGGCUACUGUGACUGGUAACCCCUAGUAACCACUGGGCUACUGUGACCGGUAACCCCUAGUAACCAGGAGGCUACUGUGACUGGUAACCCCUAGUAACCAGGAGGCUACUGUGGGUGGUGAGAAAAGGAGUUAAUGUCAAGCCCCGCAUGCAUUUACAACACAGACCUUAUUAGAAUGACCAGCGUCUCUGCACACGUGCGUUACCGACAGGUCAAUUCCCCAAAUAGCGGCGUGUGGUGUUUGAGGUUGAACCUAACGUUAGCUAACAAGCUAAGUAGGGCUAAUCCCACACACACGUGCGGAUAAGCAGGAUGCAUCCGGCUCUCCGGUACCGUUAACUUAUUCAAACAAACAGCACAAACACGCACACGCUCUCUCGUCUGAACAACACGAACAUACCUGCAAAUGGGCCGAAAUAAUCACAGGAGUGAUUUUGUGUUCCUCAGUAAACGCGUUUACUAGAAUGAGAGGAAACACGCGUGUUGCCGGAAUGUGCCGGCGAAGACCGAAGCAAUCGAUCCCAGUGUAGCUGAUCAGGCGACUUAGUAGAUAAAGGAUUGAGGACUAAUGAUUCAUUCCUUUUAGACAAAAACUGAUGUAAAUAAACCGUAGAUCACUAACUCUCUAUGAAUGGACUCCUUAGAAUGAUGCAGGUCAUCAUUUGCACGCUUACCAGAGACGUUUUGCAAAUUUUCACUGAUAAAAACCUAGAUUAUGCGUUGAAAAAUGUUUAUUUAUUAACAUGUAUAUUAAUAUGUGCUACUGCGGGAUUAGAAAAUACUGUGUUUAACCAUUCAAGGUCUAACAUAGAAAAUGUUUUAUGUGAUAAAACGUUGGUAUUCAGGUACUUUUAGAGCUCAACGUGUUUGUUACUGAACCAACUGAACAAGAAUAUUCAUAAUUUAUAAUACAUACAAAUACAAAAUGAGACCAUUAUGGAACAAUAUGUUGAAGUUCGCUGGCUGAAACUGAAAACUCCUAUACAUGUAUUAAGCAUAUUCCGUCUCUAACAGUUACCAGAGUCAUUGGGGGGCUCCGGGGGGGUCGUCUGGUCUUCAGCCUCCAGAGAGGAUGUGAGAUCAACGGCCUCUGACCUCUGAGUGAACACAUUCAACAACUAGAUGUUAUUACCAGCACAACUAUUAUUAAUGCCUGUACAGUUUGUAUUUACUGUACCUCAGAUGUCUCCUUUUCCUCCUCGUUUGGAUUCUCAGAAUCAGGGUCUGAAAAAGGAGAAAAGUUUAUUUAACAGUCUUCAUCAGAAGCAUUUUAUUGGUACUUUGGGAUUACGAGGUGUUCAAACAUCACGACCGUGAGAGACAUACUUGGUGUAGAUGCCGUAACAAUAACCGUGAAACAAACAAACAGACCAAAUUGAAGGUGAAACUAUAAAACAUAAAUAUAAAUAUUCUGUGCGUCUCCCGUGACUGAACCAAUUAAACUGAUUUUACCACCACACCAACUUAAAAAUAAAACUGCUCUAGAUAUUUAUUCCCUUAUUAUUGAUAUUACCUUUUGACAUCCACAUGAACCACUCUUCCCAUUGGCAUAAAUCUGCACAAUACUUUUCUAAAGAAAAAAGAAAAUGUAUAAAAUGUAAAGCUAGUUCUAGUUACUCGUUAUUUCCUUCUUUCCAAGCCGUGAAGAACCAACGUUGAGUUUCCGUAAAACUUGAAUUGCACCGAUAUUAAUGCAUCUCGCUGGAAGCCCGACGUCAUGUCGGUGGAGCGAAGCUCAUAAAAAGCCAUUUAAUCUUCAUCCAAACCGCCCGAGUUCUUCUCUCUGAAUACGUUUUCAUAACGUAGAGUUUGGUCUUUAUUGCUCUCAAACUCAAAACCCUUUUGCCCAGCAGACACUCACUUGUUGUGGCAACAAAAGCAACAGGUGGAACU